CUACACAUGCAGUCGAACGAAGUAGCAAUACUUAGUGGCAGACGGGUGAGUAACAUGUAGGUAUCUGCCCUUUGGCCUGGAAUAACACGAGGAAACUUGUGCUAAUACCGGAUAAGUCUUUACGGAGAAAGCUUUAUGCACCAUUGGAUGAGCCUGCACUUGAUUAGUUUGUUGGUGGGGUAAUGGCCUACCAAGACUGUGAUCAAUAGCUGAUUUGAGAGGAUGAUCAGCCACAUUGGGACUGAGACACGGCCCAAACUCCUACGGGAGGCAGCAGUGGGGAAUCUUGCACAAUGGAGGAAACUCUGAUGCAGCGAUGCCGCGUGAGUGAAGAAGGCCCUUGGGUUGUAAAGCUCUUUCGUCGGGGAAGAAAAUGACUGUACCCGAAUAAGAAGGUCCGGCUAACUUCGUGCCAGCAGCCGCGGUAAUACGAAGGGACCUAGCGUAGUUCGGAAUUACUGGGCUUAAAGAGUUCGUAGGUGGUUGAAAAAGUUAGUGGUGAAAUCCCAGAGCUUAACUCUGGAACUGCCAUUAAAACUUUUCAGCUAGAGUAUGAUAGAGGAAAGUAGAAUUUCUAGUGUAGAGGUGAAAUUCGUAGAUAUUAGAAAGAAUACCAAUUGCGAAGGCAGCUUUCUGGAUCAUUACUGACACUGAGGAACGAAAGCAUGGGUAGCGAAGAGGAUUAGAUACCCUCGUAGUCCAUGCCGUAAACGAUGUGUGUUAGACGUUGGAAAUUUAUUUUCAGUGUCGCAGGGAAACCGAUAAACACACCGCCUGGGGAGUACGACCGCAAGGUUAAAACUCAAAUGAAUUGACGGGACCCGCACAAGUAGUGGAGCAUGUGGUUUAAUUCGAAGAUACGCGCAGAACCUUACCAACGCUUGACAUGUUCGUCGCGACUCUAGAGAUUAGGCUUUUCAGUUCGGCUGGACGAACACAGUGCUGCAUGGCUGUCGUCAGCUCGUGCCGU
rnacentral:rRNA from 1 species